rnacentral:piRNA from 2 species
ACCCUACUCUUUGUGGUCAGGCCACACUCU